AUUGAACGCUGGCGGCAGGCCUAACACAUGCAAGUCGAGCGAGCGGCGGACGGGUGAGUAAUGUAUGGGGAACUGCCCGAUGGAGGGGGAUAACUACUGGAAACGGUAGCUAAUACCGCAUACCAUCAGAUGUGCCCAGAUGGGAUUAGCUUGUAGGGGGGGUAACGGCUCACCUAGGCGACGAUCCCUAGCUGGUCUGAGAGGAUGACCAGCCACACUGGAACUGAUACACGGCCCAUACUCCUACGGGAGGCAGCAGUGGGGAAUAUUGCACAAUGGGCGCAAGCCUGAUGCAGCCAUGCCGCGUGUAUGAAGAAGGCCUUCGGGUUGUAAAGUACUUUCAGCCGGGAGGCGUUACCCGCAGAAGAAGCACCGGCUAACUCCGUGCCAGCAGCCGCGGUAAUAC
rnacentral:rRNA from 1 species